CUCCCUGUAGCGCAAUACAUAGUAUAUUGGACUUUUAAUCCAAAAGUUGUGGGUUCGAAUCCCACUUGGGAUG